CGACGAAGCAACAAGUUUCUCACAGCGACCGGGUAGCUAAAUAUAGCUGCGUGUAAACACUGUUAAUUCUGUAAAACAACAACUGCUAAGUACCUUUCAGUUUUAAGUGGUCUAGCUAAUGCUAAAACCGCUGUUAGCCGACCGGGAGCCGGAUCCUCUUUCCGUCUUGUCAUUGAAAGCUUGAUUCAUAACUUGAAUCCAUGAGAGCAGCGCAUGUUUGAGUAAGGAUGGAUGAAAGUAAGAACGAUCGCGAGACUCCGCCCACAACUCCACCCAAAGCCACGCCCUCUCUUUCAGCGUCCACUGAUCAGCCGAACUCGAACCCGGUCGUCACGGUCAGCUCUCCUCCGGGUCUCCACUCUGCUGACGUACACGACAAGCUAACCGGACAAACUGGUUGCCCUCAAGUAUCCACAUGAGGGCACUACAACAGUGAGUUUGAGCAGCCCAGAGUUGCUGAAGGAGCUGAAACAGCCUCUCACACUCAAACACGUCCAUAAACGCAACGGCUGGACCAAAAUCUUCAGCGGGAAAGGACGACCAAUCAAACAAAACACACUCUGCACUGAUUCGGAGGAUUUAGAGAAUCGAGCUAAACCAGCACAGUGACAAUCAGCAGGCGCGCUCUCAUUGGCAGUUUGAGAUGUCUGUCAGAGCUACGCCCCGCCCCUAUACCAAUGUGGGCGUGUUCUGUCUCUGUGAGCUGCUCUGGUUAUUAUCAGGGUCUUCAUCUGGGAUGUUUCUGUACAAGAUUUAAAAACCAGUGUAACUUUCCCCAUAGCACAACUAAUAUUUGAGUAACGUUGGUUAUCUAAUCAGAAUCAAAGCUGGAGGACUGAGUGUGAAGAAUAUGAACUGGAAAAAUGGCAAGAUGAAUUUACUGAAUUGCAAUUGAAAACUCAGUACCCAGUUGCAUCUUUACCAUGUGAAAACGAAUAAAUCAAAUACAUUU
rnacentral:lncRNA from 1 species